GCGGGUAUAGCUCAGCUGGCAGAGUGGAAGCUUCCCAAGCUUCAGGUCGCGGGUUCAAACCCCGUUGCCCGCU
rnacentral:tRNA from 1 species